rnacentral:rRNA from 1 species
AUCUAUGACCAUGCCACCCUGAACAAGCCCCAUCCCAUCUGAUCUCGGAAGCUAAGCAAGGUCGGGCUUGGUUAGUACUUGGAUGGGAGACUGACUACCUAGGAAGACCAGGUGCUGCAGGCA